GGGGGUGGAUAGGUGCUGGUGUGCCUUACGGUCUUCAAAACCGAUAUGAGGAGCUGAUACCUUCUCGGGUGGGUUCGAUUCCCACGCACUCCCGCCA
rnacentral:tRNA from 5 species